rnacentral:lncRNA from 1 species
CUCGCUUCUCUCUCUUCGUGUUCUACCUCCUUUCCCCUUCCAAUUCUUCCAUUUUAUAUUGUAGAAAAAAAUUAAAAUGAAUAAAGAAAGAAAUCGAGGUAAAAUUAAUUUUUUUUCCAGAUCGAAAAGUGAGAAAAGAAGUUUGGUGCUCCAUUUCCAUGGCAAAAGAUGUUAGGUGGCGGAGAAGAAGUUUGAUGGUUCAUUAUUCAUCCAGCUUGAAAAUUAAUACCUGUCCUUUGGUAUAUAGGAAGAAGAAGAAGCAUACGAGGUGGGGGAGGAAUCAAAAAGGGAAGAGGUGGGGCUGGUUUUGGGGGAGUGGGGCGAGGGGAAGAAGAAGAAGAAGAAAAAGCAUCCUGGAAAUAACGAAA